rnacentral:rRNA from 1 species
UGAGGAAUCUUGCGCAAUGGGGGAAACCCUGACGCAGCAACGCCGCGUGAGUGAGGAAGGCCUUCGGGUCGUAAAGCUCUGUCAGUUGGAAAGAAAUGCCUGAGAGUCAAUACCUUUCAGGCUUGACGGUACCAACAGAGGAAGCACCGGCUAACUCCGUGCCAGCAGCCGCGGUAAUACGGGGGGUGCAAGCGUUGUUCGGAAUUAUUGGGCGUAAAGAGCGUGUAGGCGGCCGGAUAUGUCAGAUGUGAAAUCCCUGGGCUUAACCCAGGAAGUGCAUUUGAAACUGUCCGGCUUGAGUAGGGGAGAGGGAAGUGGAAUUCCUGGUGUAGAGGUGAAAUUCGUAGAUAUCAGGAGGAACACCGGUGGCGAAGGCGACUUCCUGGCCCUAUACUGACGCUGAGACGCGAGAGCGUGGGUAGCAAACAG